rnacentral:rRNA from 1 species
GAGAGGUGCUGCAUGGCUGUCGUCAGCUCGUGUUGUGAAAUGUUGGGUUAAGUCUCGCAACGAGCGCAACCCCUAUCGUCUGUUGCCAGCAUUAAGUUGGGCACUCUGACGAGACUGCCUGGGUUAGCCAGGAGGAAGGUGGGGAUGACGUCAAGUCCUCAUGGCCCUUAUGUCUAGGGCUACACACGUAAUACAAUGGCGCGUACAAAGGGAAGCGAACUCGCAAGGGGGAGCAAAUCUCAAAAAGCGCGUCUCGGUCCGGAUUGGAGUCUGCAACUCGACUCCAUGAAGUCGGAAUCGCUAGUA